rnacentral:rRNA from 1 species
GGUGAAUAUUGGUCAAUGGGCAGAAGUCUGAGCGAGCCUUAGUGCCAUGUGUCAGAAAUCCUUCUCGUCACCAGGCGCUUCUGUUGGGAAAUAAAUCCAGGCUGCUGAUACCACGUCGGAUGGAGAGGACUCAUAUAAUAAGUAACGUCGAACUUCGUGCCAGCAGCCGCGGUAAUACGAAGGGUGCAAGCGUUACUCGGAAUUACUGGGCGUAAAGCGUGCGUAGGUGGUCGUUUAAGUCCGUUGUGAAAGCCCUGGGCUCAAACUGGGAACUGCAGUGGAUACUGGGCGACUAGAGUGUGGUAGAGGGUAGCGGAAUUCCUGGUGUAGCAGUGAAAUGCGUAGAGAUCAGGAGGAACAUCCAUGGCGAAGGCAGCUACCUGGACCAACACUGACACUGAGGCACGAAAGCGUGGGGAGCAAACA